UGUAGUACGAAGCAGGAUUUGAGGAGAGAGAGCUGACUUCUGGAUUAACCCUGGGUUUUCAGUUGUACGGCAGUGGUUGAUGUUUUACUGGGAUACAUCGCCAUGGCCACUCUGAUCAUUCCUUCCAGCUUUCGUCCCCUGCCCCCCUCCGUCCCUCGCUGGUUCCUGACCUCCAUCCUCCCUGUGAUCAUCCCUCCAGAGUUGAGGCCAUCUGUUCCUGCAGGAGAACCGAGUGCAUCCUAGCCCCCGACGUCAGCCAGGAUGUGUGUAUUUAUGCAUGUGUGCCAAUUUAUCUGUCUGCAUGUGUGUGUGUGCGUGUAUGUGUUAAAGUGUGAGUAUGUAUUCGUCUCCCAGACUGUAAAAAAUUGAGAGUGUUGCAUAUUCAUGACACCAAAGGUGUAGUACCAUUUCUACCUUUUAUGGAAUUAUCUUCCAGGCCCCAUCAGUGAUGGAUUGCUGCAUAAACAAAAACACUUUGAUAUCUACUGCAUGAUGGAUGCAUAUGGAUUAUAUGUAGAUGAUUAUAGCUAAUAAAGCUGAUACCUGUG